rnacentral:misc_RNA from 1 species
UCUCCGUUGGUGAACCAGCGGAGGGAUCAUUACAGAGUUGCAAAACUCCCAAACCAUUGUGAACGUUACCUCUCCCGUUGCUUCUGCGGGCGGCCCCGGCCCCGCGCCCGGCCCCCCCCGGCCCCCCGUGGGCGCCCGCCGGAGGUAAACCAAACUCUUAAAUUGCAUGGCCUCUCUGAGUCUUUUGUACUGAAUAAGUCAAAACUUUCAACAACGGAUCUCUUGGUUCUG